UUAAGUAAUGGACAAAAUUUAAAGUUAUUAAAAAAAAGGUGCCUUUAAGUUAAGUUUCUUCAAUUUUUAAAAUGCCGCAGUGUUUUGCAUGGAGUGCUCUACAAAGAGUAUGUGGCACAGUGUUACGACAAGCUGAGAAGGUAUCUAAGUGUACGCCUUUAGAACAGCAAAAACCACAGCCUGAGACAACAACAAUACAACCGUUUAAUUUUAAAAAUAUCAAGAAAUUUUCUCCAAGAGAAUUUUCACUUGAAGAAGCACCUCGCUUAGAUGAUAUUCAUUUUAAUAAUGUUUAUAUGGUAGAUAAGAGAUCAGCCACAUUAGUGGAAACAGCAUAUAAAAAUGCGGUGGAAAAAUUACAUAGCUCUGUUCUGGCUAAGAAUAGAGAAUAUUGGGAACAAAAACACCGAGGUUCAUCUAUAGCUUUUGAGCAUGUCAAUAGCGUCUAUCAAGCACCUAUAGUAACAAAUAGGGAUUAUUGGGACCGUCAGCGAGAACUUUGUAUGGCUACGAAACCUAAUCCAACAACAUAUGUAAAGGGUUGCGGUCCUUAUGACGAUUAAAAGUCGAAAACUAUGACUUAUAUCUAUAAAAAAUAUUUCUAAAAGAACCGCUUGAUAUAAGUUUGAGUUGUGAUGAGUGAUAUGGUAUCAAGAAUUUUUGCAAAUUUACUACAUCAGAAGAAAUUCAAUUAGGAAAACAAGAUACCACAUCCUCUUAUGAGAUUGGAAUGCAUGACAAAGAGUAUCCAUACAUCGUUUGGACGCGGUUCAAGUAAAAAAAAUUGGUAAAGAAGCAGCACAGAACAAAACGCUUGAGACGCUAGAGACAACAAAAAAAUAUUUACCAUUUUCAUCAUACGAAAACGUUCGAAGCUAUGCAACGUUACCUAAUAAGAAGAGGCUGAAAGGUUGUGAUCCACCUAACGACGUGAAUUCUGAGCAGAUUACAAGUAAUAGCCAAAAUAUUAAAAGUAACACUCCACCUAAGGAAUGGGUUUCUUGCACUACAAACACUACUAACAGAAAGCCUAGAACUAUAGCAAAAUUUGUUAAAGGUUGCGGUCCAAUUGUCGACAACGAAGAUACUGCUUAGAAUGUUGAGAGUAUUACUUUAAAGAAAAUUAUAUGUAAUUGUAAGAAUAGAUGCAUUUACGAGCUAUAGAUAAAUUUUACCUGCUAUGCAGCAUUGCCAUGUAAAAAAUAACUGAAAGGUUGCUACCCACCUUAAGACGCAUAGAAAAUAGAAUUCAUAGGAAAUCAUCGAGGAGGACCAAAAUGUUGAAAAUUGCACUCCAUCUAAAGAAUGGGUUGCUAAUACUAUAGACGCUAAUAACAGAAAACCUAAAACAGUAGUUAAAUUUGUUAAAAGUUGCGAUCCACACUUAACCACCAAAAGAAUUUUCGUACUUAUAUAGACGAUUUACAACAAUGGAGAGCUGAUUAACACUGUUAAUGGAUAGAAGUAAAAUAUGGCACCGGCUGUAACAAACCAACUGAUGGAGCAAGCUUUCUAUUUUCUCCAAGAAAAUAUCU